ACAUCUUCAGCAAACGUGUAAAGGCCUCUUCUUAUAAAAGGUUUUGAAAGUUUCUUAAUGAUUGAUCGCUACACAUAUUGUGUAAUAUAAUAGUCAAAAUAAUUUUAAAAAAUGAUUACCGAUUAUCUUAUAAUUAUACUAAAUUAUAUUAUUUGAGUAUCCAAGAAGGGGGCUUAAUUCUUGCAAGCUUUGUCUGUGUAGCCACAUUAGAUACAAAAUUUCAUGACAAAUAUGUUGCACACAAAUCAAAAUAAUAGAUAUAAUAAAAAAAUCAUGUUUACACAAAAUGAGAAAAAAAACUCUCAUUAUAGAAAUAACAUUUUAGUACUAAAAAAAUAUACAUGAAAAUGCAUUUAUACAAUAGUAAAUAAAUUUACUCAAUAAUAAUAACUAAUAAGGAAUAAAUUAUUGAACAUUAUUUCCCCGUUAUUCCAAAUAAUGAAAACCAAUCAGCACAUUUGACUGUCACAAUUACUUACAGGCAAAUUAAUGUGGAUAGACAAUUUAGGUUCCCAAAGACGAACUCGUGGAAACCCAUAUUACAAGUCAUAUUGAGUUGCUUAUAAACCUUUACAGUUAAACAAUUAAAUAAUAAACACUAAAUACACUAAUUCUCAUUAAGUAAAUCCAUGACACAAAUAAGUACUUUUAAAGUAUACCAGUAAAUACAAAAUACUAAGUACUUUAUACAUACCUAAUACACUUUAAUGAACAAUGUACAAUAGAUUUUUGAACAGUUAUUGAAGUUUUUGAAACUUAAAAUUUAAUAUUUUUAAUAAAUUUUUUUUAAAUAACAUUUACAUAUUAAAUGCAUAGUGAUAAC